rnacentral:miRNA from 1 species
UCAACCAGUGGAUGCCCAUGGUCGUGAUGAUCAUGAUGGUGGUCAUGGUCAUGGUCAUGGUCAUGGUCGUGAUGAUCAUGAUGAUGGUCAUGGUGA